UUGGCGGUGAAGUCCCAGCCGGCGUCCGGGUCGACCAGCGCGUCGACGCCGAAGUAGUCGCCGUCGGCCAGCGUGCCCAGCACGGACUCGUCGCCGUACUUGCCGGCGCCGACCUUGUUGACCUUGCCGUGCGCGAUGAGGAAGAUCCGGUCGGCCGCGGCGCCGGACUCGGCGAUCACGUCGCCGGCCGAGAACUCGUGCUGGCGGAACCGGUUGGCCAGCGCGUCCAGCACCUCCAUCUCGUCGAAUCCGCGCAGCAGCGGCAGCUCGCCCAGCUCGGCCGGGAUGACGCGGACGUCGGCGCCGGUCUUGGUGAACUCGAUCCGGCCGUCGCCGACGGUGUAGCUCAGGCGCCGGUUGACGCGGUACACGCCGCCGUUGACCUGGGUCCAGGGCAGCACGCGCAGCAGCCAGCGCGAGGUGAUGCCCUGCAUCUGGGGCACGGACUUGGUCGUGGUGGACAGGUUCCGCGCGGCGGCGGUGCCCAGGCUCAGCUGGGACUGCCCUU
rnacentral:antisense_RNA from 1 species